CCUUUGUGGUUUAGACUUGGGAGUCCCAAACUUCAGUGUCCAGGGCCACGUGCCACACAGUGACAUCAAAGCUCAUGAUGGGGAUCGCUUUGUCCUAUACAGAGUACAUCCCCAUUCAUGACCUUGUUGGGGGAGACAGGACUGGGUCACCUCACAGAGGACUCUGAGCAAAGUUGGACAACUUGUCCACAGUUGGAGCUAGAGGUUGACAAGGCCCUGCAGCUCCUGCUGGGCAAUACCGUGUCUGGCCCCUUGGGGCUUCAUUCUGGCCCAGAAUUGGAGAAGCGUCAGGGUUCUGCUCUGCUUCCCAGGAGCCCCCACCAGGGCUCUGUUUCCCAAGGAACAGACUCGGGCCCCAGGAUCCUGGAGACUGUGGGGCUGGGCACUCGGAGCAGGAGGGAUGGUGUACCUGGGGUGUGCAGGGCUCAGGGGCAGAGGCUCACCUUUCAGAGUCUUCAGAGUCUGGGCUUUCUUCUGGCUCCUGCUGCUCCUUCUCUGAGGCUCCACUCGAUGCUGAGAUGAGAGAACAUGGGGAGACUGGGACCCCCUCCCUGCCCUCUGGAGCAAGCUGCAGAUGCUCAGUGCUCAUGAACAAUGUGACUUCCUACAUUUAACUAAGAGGGGAGGGGGCAUGGGUUUCUUUCUUUUACUCAUUUUCAAAGUAGAUAAGUACGUUUUCAGUUUUUCUUCUUUGAAGAAUGUACAGAAAGAUUUUCUACGUGAGAAAUUCCUCUGUCACUGGUCCUCUGCUCAAGAAACACACAUAUCCCCAGACCUGCAGCAUCUGCGUUUCUUCAGGUUCAUAGAUGAGGAUGAGACCUGAUCACUCUCCAGGGCCAGUGACUGGCACUCCCUCGCCUAGGCCUUUUGAGCUGUGGGCAAGAGACACCAGGGCCUUACCACGUGGGCCUGUCCAUAGGGCAGCUUACAACAUGGCAGCUGGCAUCUUCCAGAGCAAGAAGGAAGCAUUUCCCCGAGCUCCCCAGGCUGAUGAAGGUGAAGAGGACCAGAAAAUCAAACAGACCUGAGAAAGUUCUGGAGAUAGUGGUGAACUGACACUAAGGAACACAGGUGUACAACGUGUUUAUCCUUUCAUCUGUUCAAGGACAUCUUGGCUGUUUAUAUUCUUUGUCAGCUGUGAAUGGUAAUUAUAAAUGUUCAUGUAAAACACUUACUGUUUUCAUUUUAGCAAUUCUAAUUGUGGUAUCUCAUUGUAUUGUUAAUUUGAAUUUCCCUGAAGACCAAUAAUAUGGUGCUUUCUG